rnacentral:rRNA from 1 species
ACGAACGCUGGCGGCACGCUUAACACAUGCAAGUCGAACGAGAGAAGAGAAGCUUGCUUUUCUGAUCUAGUGGCGGACGGGUGAGUAACACGUGAGCAAUCUGCCUUUCAGAGGGGGAUACCGAUUGGAAACGAUCGUUAAUACCGCAUAACAUAAUUGAACCGCAUGAUUUGAUUAUCAAAGAUUUAUCGCUGAAAGAUGAGCUCGCGUCUGAUUAGCUAGUUGGUAAGGUAACGGCUUACCAAGGCGACGAUCAGUAGCCGGACUGAGAGGUUGAUCGGCCACAUUGGGACUGAGACACGGCCCAGACUCCUACGGGAGGCAGCAGUGGGGAAUAUUGCACAAUGGAGGAAACUCUGAUGCAGCGAUGCCGCGUGAGGGAAGAAGGUUUUAGGAUUGUAAACCUCUGUCUUCAGGGACGAAAAAAGACGGUACCUGAGGAGGAAGCUCCGGCUAACUACGUGCCAGCAGCCGCGGUAAUACGUAGGGAGCGAGCGUUGUCCGGAAUUACUGGGUGUAAAGGGAGCGUAGGCGGGAUCGCAAGUCAGAUGUGAAAACUAUGGGCUUAACCCAUAAACUGCAUUUGAAACUGUGGUUCUUGAGUGAAGUAGAGGUAAGCGGAAUUCCUAGUGUAGCGGUGAAAUGCGUAGAUAUUAGGAGGAACAUCAGUGGCGAAGGCGGCUUACUGGGCUUUAACUGACGCUGAGGCUCGAAAGCGUGGGGAGCAAACAGGAUUAGAUACCCUGGUGGUCCACGCCGUAAACGAUGAUUACUAGGUGUUGGAGGAUUGACCCCUUCAGUGCCGCAGUUAACACAAUAAGUAAUCCACCUGGGGAGUACGACCGCAAGGUUGAAACUCAAAGGAAUUGACGGGGGCCCGCACAAGCAGUGGAGUAUGUGGAUUAAUUCGAAGCAACGCGAAGAACCUUACCAGGUCUUGACAUCGUAUGCAUAGCUCAGAGAUGAGUGAAAUCUCUUCGGAGACAUAUAGACAGGUGGUGCAUGGUUGUCGUCAGCUCGUGUCGUGAGAUGUUGGGUUAAGUCCCGCAACGAGCGCAACCCUUACUGUUAGUUGCUACGCAAGAGCACUCUAGCAGGACUGCCGUUGACAAAACGGAGGAAGGUGGGGAUGACGUCAAAUCAUCAUGCCCCUUAUGACCUGGGCCUCACACGUACUACAAUGGCUGUUAACAGAGGGAUGCAAAGCCGCGAGGUGGAGCGAACCCCUAAAAGCAGUCUUAGUUCGGAUUGUAGGCUGCAACCCGCCUACAUGAAGUCGGAAUUGCUAGUAAUCGCAGAUCAGCAUGCUGCGGUGAAUACGUUCCCGGGCCUUGUACACACCGCCCGUCACGCCAUGGGAGUCGGUAACACCCGAAGCCUGUAGUCUAACCGCAAGGAGGACGCAGUCGAAGGUGGGAUUGAUGACUGGGGUG